ACAGCAGUCGCCACGGUAAUACGAAGGGGGCUAGCGUUGUUCGGAAUUACUGGGCGUAAAGCGCACGUAGGCGGAUAUUUAAGUCAGGGGUGAAAUCCCAGAGCUCAACUCUGGAACUGCCUUUGAUACUGGGUAUCUUGAGUAUGGAAGAGGUGAGUGGAAUUCCGAGUGUAGAGGUGAAAUUCGUAGAUAUUCGGAGGAACACCAGUGGCGAAGGCGGCUCACUGGUCCAUUACUGACGCUGAGGUGCGAAAGCGUGGGGAGCAAACAGGAUUAGAGACCCGUGUAGUCCCUGUCUCUUAUAC
rnacentral:rRNA from 1 species